AACUGUCUCUUACAGGCAAUCGGUGAAAUUGAUCUCCCUGUGCAAAAGCAGGGAUAACCACAUAAGACGAGAAGACCCUGUGGAACUUCAAAAACAGCAACCACCCCAAUAUACAUUCACACCCACCCCGGGCUCACUUAUUCCUAAAGCACUGGUUAGCAUUUUUUCGGUUGGGGCGACCUUGGAGCAAAGCAAAACCUCCAAAAAUUGGACCAUCCCUCCAGACUAAGAGCAACCCCUCAACGUGCCAACAGCACCCAGACCCAAUACAAUUGAUCAAUGGACCAAGCUACCCCAGGGAUAACAGCGCAAUCUCCUCCGAGAGUCCAUAUCGACGGGGAGGUUUACGACCUCGAUGUUGGAUCAGGACAUCCUAGUGGUGCAGGAGCUACUAAGGGUUCGUUUGUUCAACGAUUAACAGUCCUACGUGAUCUGAGUUCAGACCGGAGCAAUCCAGGUCGGUUUCUAUCUAUGAUGAACUCUUCCUCGUACGAAAGGAUCGGAAAAGUGAGGCCAAUACCACAAGCAAGCCUUCGCCUUAAGUAAUGAAGCCAACUCAAUUACAAAAGGCUAUCACACCACCCACAUCCUAGAAAAGG
rnacentral:rRNA from 1 species